UACGUAGGGCGCAAGCGUUGUCCGGAAUUAUUGGGCGUAAAGAGCUCGUAGGCGGCUUGUCACGUCGGAUGUGAAAGCCCGGGGCUUAACUCCGGGUCUGCAUUCGAUACGGGCUGGCUAGAGUGUGGUAGGGGAGAUCGGAAUUCCUGGUGUAGCGGUGAAAUGCGCAGAUAUCAGGAGGAACCCCAGAGGCGAAGGCGGCGUCCUGGCUCGCAUCUGGCGCUCAGACACGACAGCAUGGGGAGCGAACGGG
rnacentral:rRNA from 1 species